rnacentral:rRNA from 1 species
AGUGAACGCUGGCGGUAUGCCUAACACAUGCAAGUCGAACGGCAGCACAGUAAGAGCUUGCUCUUACGGGUGGCGAGUGGAGGACGGGUGAGGAAUACAUCGGAAUCUACUUUUUCGUGGGGGAUAACGUAGGGAAACUUACGCUAAUACCGCAUACGACCUACGGGUGAAAGCAGGGGAUCUUCGGACCUUGCGCGAUUGAAUGAGCCGAUGUCGGAUUAGCUAGUUGGCGGGGUAAAGGCCCACCAGGGCGACGAUCCGUAGCUGGUCUGAGAGGAUGAUCAGCCACACUGGAACUGAGACACGGUCCAGACUCCUACGGGAGGCAGCAGUGGGGAAUAUUGGACAAUGGGCGCAAGCCUGAUCCAGCCAUACCGCGUGGGUGAAGAAGGCCUUCGGGUUGUAAAGCCCUUUUGUUGGGAAAGAAAAGCAGCAGGUUAAUACCCCGCUGUUCUGACGGUACCCAAAGAAUAAGCACCGGCUAACUUCGUG